GCCUCCUAAAGAGUAACAGAGGUGUGCGAUGGUAGGCUUAAGCUAAGAUUAUACUCAUGAGCUAAUGGUACAAGCGUGCUUGAUUGUGAGACCGACUAAAUGAAUAGAGACGAAAGUUGGCCAUAAUGACCCGAGAGUCAUGUGUGGAAGGCUCUCACUCAAC
rnacentral:ncRNA from 1 species